AACGAACGCUGGCGGCAUGCCUAACACAUGCAAGUCGAACGAGACCUUCGUGUCUAUUGGCGCACGGGUGCGUAACGCGUGGUAACCUGCCCUUAGGUUCGGAAUAACUCCCCGUAAGGUGUGCUAAUACCGGUUAAUCUCUUCGGCCCAAAGAUUUAUCGCCUUUGGAUGGGCCCGCGUUGGAUUAGCUUGUUGGUAGUGUAAAAGCCUACCAAGGCGACGAUCCAUAGCUGGUCUGAGAGGAUGAUCAGCCACACUGGGACUGAGACACGGCCCAGACUCCUACGGGAGGCAGCAGUGGGGAAUAUUGGACAAUGGGCGAAAGCGUGAUCCAGCAAUGCCGCGUGAGUGAUGAAGGCCUUAGGGUUGUAAAGCUCUUUUACCCGGGAUGAUAAUGACAGUACCGGGAGAAUAAGCUCCGGCUAACUACGUG
rnacentral:rRNA from 1 species